GCGGAUGUGGCGGAAUUGGCAGACGCACCAGACUUAGGAUCUGGCGGGUAACACCGUGGAGGUUCGAGUCCUCUCAUCCGCACCA
rnacentral:tRNA from 1 species